rnacentral:misc_RNA from 1 species
UUACUGAGUUAGGGUGCCCUGCGCCCGAUCUCCAACCCUAUGUUUAACUACUUUGUUGCUUUGGCAGGCCCGUCCUUCGGGGCCGCCGGGGGCGUUUAGUCGCCUCUGGCCAGUGCUUGCCAGUAGCCAAUUUAAAUUCUUCUUAAUAAUGAAGUCUGAAUCUUUAAUUAAAAUUUAAUUAAAACUUUCAACAACGGAUCUCUUGGUUCUGGCAUCGAUGAAGAACGCAGCGAAAUGCGAUAAGUAAUGUGAAUUGCAGAAUUCAGUGAAUCAUCGAAUCUUUGAACGCACAUUGCGCCCUUUGGUAUUCCGAAGGGCAUGCCUGUUCGAGCGUCAUUAUCAACCCUCAAGCCCGGCUUGUUAUUGGGCCCUCUAUCGUUAAAGAUAGGCCCGAAAGAUAAUGGCGGCGUCAAGAAUGACCCCAGGUGCAGCGAGCUUAUAGCAUACACUGAGGUGGUCCUCUUGGCCUGGCCUAUUUGUUUAGUACCCCUAAACUUCUCAAAGGUUGACCUCGGAUCAGGUAGGAAUACCCGCUGAACUUAAGCAUAUCAAUAAGCGGAGGAAAAGAAACCAACAGGGAUUGCCUUAGUAACGGCGAGUGAAGCGGCAAUAGCUCAAAUUUGAAAUCUGGCUCUUUCAGAGUCCGAGUUGUAAUUUGUAGAGGAUGUUUCGGGCAACGUUUCGGUUUAAAUUCCUUGGAACAGGAUGUCAUAGAGGGUGAGAGUCCCGUCUUGAACCGUAUACCGCGUCCAUGUGAAACUCCUUCGACGAGUCGAGUUGUUUGGGAAUGCAGCUCAAAAUGGGAGGUAAAUUUCUUCUAAAGCUAAAUAUUGGCCAGAGACCGAUAGCGCACAAGUAGAGUGAUCGAAAGAUGAAAAGCACUUUGAAAAGAGAGUUAAACAGUAUGUGAAAUUGUUGAAAGGGAAGCGCUUGCAACCAGACUUGUGUUUAACGGUUCCAUCACUGUUCUCAGUGGUCUAUUCCGUUAUAUCCAGGCCAGCAUCGGUUCGGGUGGUUAGUUAAAGGCCUUGGGAAUGUAUCUACCUUGCGGGGUCGACUUAUAGCCCUUGGUGUAAUGUGACCUACCUGGACCGAG